ensembl:lncRNA novel transcript
CUGGGACUCAGCACUGGAGAAUUUGUUUUCAUCAUUUUGCAGCAGUUGGAGGACCGUUUUUGGAAGGAAGUACUGACAAAUCAGAAAAUGAUGCACCUCCAAAAGGUGUAUGGGUCACUGCUUCUCAUUGCCCUCAGCUCCUACAGAAAAGGCCGUGGAGACGAAGGCUUUUGGAAACAAGUCUACCAAACACCGAGGAGGUCGCCCUUCCGCAGCACCAUCUCCUGGGAGGAGCAGGUGAGCCCUUACUCUGCCUACCUUCACGACGCCGUCCUGCUCUAUGCUGAGACCGUGAAGCAGGUGGUAAAGGCUGGAGGCGACUUCCAGGAUGGGUGGCAGCUGGUCAGCGCUCUGAAGGGUUCCAGUCAGACCACAGUGCAGGACCCACAGGGAAUUUCUCCAAUAUGACCUGGCCGCAUGGCUCCCUUCCUGAAGACAGACCUGGCUGUGGAUUUUAUAAUGAGCUCUGUGAAACUCAGUCUGCUUUUACGGGCGUGACUGCUGUGCUUCUGACAUUGAUGAUCCUCAUUCCUGUCUUGGGAGCUGCCAUCAUAGGUCUGAUUUUAAGGAUGCAGAGGCAAAACAAAGACAUCUGGUGGCAAAUCAAUUUUGAUGAUAUCACCAUUCUUCCCCAGAACAAGGGACUUGACCAUUAACUACAGGCCAAGCAUCAUACAAGCCAUCCCAGAGAGCCACACCUGUGUCAAAAGGCAUCAACAGUAACUCAUCUAGUGUGAUGAUUUCUGUGGACCUCAGCUCUUUUGUCAAGAGCCAGCAGUGGGAAGAGCUCUUCUAUGCCGCAGUAGGGCUUUAUCAGGGAAACCAUGUGGCCAUCCGUUACGUUGGUGACCAAGCAGAAGCCUGGGUUAGGAAGCCGAUUGUGCUACAGGAAAUACAGCUGGGCAUGCUGUUCCUCCACAGGAGCCCCCUGGGCUCCCACAGCAACCUGAAACCUUCCAACUGCCUGAUGGAUGGUCGGCUGCAGGUGAAGCUGUCGUGAUUCGGGCUGUGGGAACUCAAGCAUGGCUAAAAAUACAGAACAUAUGAUGAGACAGUGACCAACCACUCAGAGCUCUACUGGACUGCCCCAGAGCUGCUGCAGUUCCCGGAGAUGCCCUGGUCGGGUACCCCGCAAGGAGAUGUUUACAGCUUCGCCAUUCUGAUGAGGGAGCUGAUCUACCAUUGGGACCACGGGCCUUUUGAUGACCUCCACGAGGCACCGGAUGAAAUCAUCAACCAAAUCAAAGACCCUGCAGCAGCAGUCCCACUGCAACCUUCCCUGCCCGAGGAGAAGGGCAAUGAAAAGAUCGUGGCCAUGGUGAGGGUGUGUUGGGAUGAAUCUCUGGAGAAAAGACCCAGUUUCUCUUCCAUCAAGAAAACUUUACGAGAGGCCAGUCCCAGAGGUCAUGUGAGCAUACUGGCCAGUGUGAUGAGCAAGCUGGAAGUGUAUGCCAAUUACCUGGAGGAAGUGGUGCAAGAGAGGACCAGCCAGCUGACUGCAGAGAAGAGGAAGGUGGAGAAGCUUCUGUCCACCAAAGUGCCCAGCUUCACUGGAGAACAACUACUAGCCGGAAGGUCCGUGGAACCAGAACAUUUCGAAUCUGUGACAAUCUUUUUAUCUGAUAUUGUUGGAUUCACAAAGCUGUGUUCUCUCAGCUCCCCUUUGCAAGUCGUCAAGCUCCUCAAUGACGUGUACAGUUUAUUCGAUCACAUCAUCACAACUUAUGAUGUUUAUAAGGUUGAGACCAUUGGAGAUGCAUACAUGGUGGCUAGUGGACUCCCUACCACAAUGGAAGCCAGCAUGUGGCUGAGAUUGCCACCAUGUCCCUGCACUUCCUCAGUGCCACCAUCUGCUUCCAAAUUGGGCACAUGCCCCAGGAGAAGCUCCAGCUUCGUAUUGGCCUCUACACAGGUCCUGUGGUGGCUGGUGUGCUGGGGAUUACCAUGUCCAGAUACUGUCUAUUUGGAGACACUGUCAACAUGGCAUCCAGAAUGGAGAGCAGCAGUUCACCUCUCCGGAUUCAUGUCUCUCAGAGCACUGCAAGCACCCUGGUGGCAUUGGGAGGGUACGAUUUGCUAAAGAGAGGCACCAUUCCAGUCAAGGGCAAAGGAGAGCAAACAACUUUCUGGUUGAAAGAUAAAGAAGGCUUCACUCUUCCACUCCCG